GCCAUAUCAUGUUGAAACAGCGGUUCCCAUAUGAUCACUGAAGUUAAGCAACAUCAAGCCUGAGCAAUACCUAGAUCGGUAACCACUUGGGAAUACCAGAUGCUGUAAG